GGCCCCUCUGCACCCGGGCCUGAAGAGGCAGCUCCCAGAAGCCCAUGGAUUAGUAAGGUCCACGGGGCUGCUUCAGGAGCUGCCUCAGAACAGCUCCCUUUUGUUUUGCUGUCUAGCAUGUGACCAGAAUGCUGCCAGCUAAUUUUAACCCUACCAAAGUACGGCGGAAAAACAAAACAAAACGAAACGAGAAAACGAUAUUGCAUCUGGAGAGAGAAACGCUGUGGGCUGGAUGAAAGCCUUCUCAGCCCGCGUUCCUUCCUGUUUCAGUUUCCAAACUUGCAUUUAUCGGUAACCUGAAAAAUGAUGAGUUUCGCCAAAUUCCUGGAUAUUGCACAAGAAGACAAUGGGUCUAUUUUGGGUGCUGUGAGUGUCUGGCACAGACCCUGGGAGCCAUUGUUUUCAGGAGGGACAAUGCUUGGGGCUUUUCUGCACCGGGAAUUGAUGGAGGACUUCAUGGAGUGCCUCACCCUGGAUACUUGGCUUCUCAAAGAAUUCCCAUGGCGGUUCAUUGUUGCUUGGUGGCCGAUGAUGCUGGUGAAAAGAUUUUUUUUGCCAGCAUUCGGGUGCCAUUAGGACACACUCCUCAUUUACCUUUCCAGCCAGGGCAUUCCUGAAUGUUUCAUAAUAGCGCCACAGCUGGAAUGCAGCUGCUUCGGGGUGGAGCAAAAAUAACUCCUUACAGGGGACACGCUGACCCCAGGAGGCAUCUCCCCCACAGCAGGCUGGGAAGUGGCUCAACAGCCCAGGCUUCGGAAUAUUAAUAGCAAUGAAGACAAGCACAGCUAACAGUCAUUGGACACCUCUUCUGCAUCUGGCUUUUGCAGUCUCUCUUCUAAUCCCUACCUAAUAAGGGGGUUCAGUUAUUAUCCCCAUUUUAUAGAUGAAGACAUGGAAGCUCAGAGAGGUUAAGUAACUCGUCUCAGGACACACAGCUAGUAAGGGGUGGCUGCAGUUAGAACUCAAGGUUGCCUUACUGUAAAGUUCUUAUCAGACAGACAGGGGUUCCAGUCCUAAAUCUGCUACGUGUGACUAUGCGACCUUUGCCAACCUCCAGGUUUCUUGAUCUGUUUUUCUAAAUUAAAUACAUUACAUAUUUGCAAUUUCACACAAUGUAGCUUAAAUUUUCCUUACAAGAUGUUGUAAGAAUGAAAUAAGGUAACGCUCAUAGAGUACUUAGCAGAGUGCCUAGAAUGUAGUAAACACCGGGUAGAGGCUUUUAGUAAUAAUCUCAGCACUGGCUGGUGUGGCUCAGUGGCCUUUGAAUCAAAGGGUCACUGAUUCAAUUCCCAGUCAGGGCACACACCUGGGUCUCGGGCCGGACCUCCAGUAGGGGGCAUGCAAGAGGCAACCACAGGUCUUUCCCACUCUUUCUUCCUCCUUUCCCCUCUGUCUAAAAGUAAAUAAGUAAAAUGAAGAUAAUAAUAA